rnacentral:piRNA from 1 species
UGGGAUUAAAGCAUGUGCCACGCUGCCUGG